GACCUCAUGAUCCACCAGCCUCAGCCUCUCAAAGUGUUGGAAUUACGCGUGUGAGCCACUGUGUCCAGCUGAGCCCCCUUUCUUCUUGCUUGUCUCUCUCUGAGUCUUUGGGUAGAAAGUCAUUCAACACUAUUAUGUGCAUCUUCCUGUUGGGAAAAGUUUAAUUUACUUUUUUAAUUGUAGGUUCUACAACAACUGAAGCAGACAUUUUCCACCAGGCACUUCUUGAAGGCAAUACAGCUACUGAAGUUUCCCUAACAGUACUAGAUACCAUAUCAUUUUUCACUCAGUGCUUCAAGACCCAACUUUUAAAUAAUGAUGGCCACAACCCAUUAAU